rnacentral:sRNA from 1 species
UCGCCCCGGGCUCCUCCGGCCGCUCAGCGCGAGGCUGGGGGCUUCGUUUUCCUCCCCGAUUCCUCUCGGUGCCCAUGGUCUUCUUCUGUCCCAUGCCUCUCCGUCCCCGAGGCGGGCCGGGCCGCCUUGUGACGCCCUCGCGCCGUCCUCGCAGAGUACGUGGCCGAGCACUGGGCAGAGGACACCUUCUUUGGGUACCAGUACCUCAACGGCGUCAACCCCGGCCUGAUUCGCCGCUGCACGCGGAUCCCAGACAAGUUCCCCGUCACAGACGACAUGGUGGCUCCGUUCCUGGGCGAGGGAACGUGCUUGCAAGCGGAGCUGGAGCUCAGCCAGACCCCUGGGCCAGAUUGCCCCAUCUUCCUGCCCAGUGAUUCUGAGUGGGACUGGCUGCUAGCCAAGACGUGGGUACGCUAUGCGGAGUUCUACAGCCAUGAGGCCAUCGCCCACCUGCUGGAGACCCACCUCAUUGCCGAGGCCUUCUGCCUGGCCUUGCUGAGGAACCUGCCCAUGUGCCACCCACUCUACAAGCUCCUCAUCCCCCAUACCCGAUACACCGUCCAGAUCAACAGCAUUGGCCGGGCCGUUCUCCUCAAUGAGGGGGGGCUCUCUGCCAAGGGCAUGUCCCUGGGCGUGGAAGGCUUUGCUGGGGUGAUGGUACGGGCUCU